rnacentral:rRNA from 1 species
GACGAACGCUGGCGGCGUGCUUAACACAUGCAAGUCGAACGGAAAGGCCCUGCUUUUGUUGGUUGCUCGAGUGGCGAACGGGUGAGUAACACGUGAGUAACCUGCCCUUGACUUUGGGAGAACUUUGGGAAACUGGGGCUAAUACCGUAUAGGAGCUCCUGCUGCAUGGUGGUGGUUGGAAAGUUUCGGCGGUUGGGGAUGGACUCGCGGCUUACUAGCUUGUUGGUGGGGUAGUGGCUUACCAAGGCUUUGACGGGUAGCCGGCCUGAGAGGGUGACCGGCCACAUUGGGACUGAGAUACGGCCCAGACUCCUACGGGAGGCAGCAGUGGGGAAUAUUGCACAAUGGGCGGAAGCCUGAUGUAGCACCGCCGCGUGCGGGAUGACGGCCUUCGGGUUGUAAACCGCUUUGGCCUGUGACGAAGCGUCAGUGACGGUAAUGGGUAAAGAAGCACCGGCUAACUACGUG